CCCUUAGAUGUUCUGGGCCGCACGCGUGCUACACUGAGUGGAUCAGCGGGUCAGGUUGCGCGAAAGCGUUUCCUAAUCUUUAAAUCCGCUCGUGAUGGGGAUUGACGGUUGCAAUUUUCUGUCAUGAACGAGGAAUACCUUGUAAGCGCGGGUCAUCAUCCCGCGCUGAAUACGUCCCUGCCCUUUGUACACACCGCCCGUCGCUCCUACCGAUUGAGUGGUCCGGUGAGGCUUUGGGAUCUGAGCGGAAAGAGCGUUUCGCUGUUUCUGCUCGGAAAACUCAGUCGAACCUUAUCAUUUAGAGGAAGAAGAAGUCGUAACA
rnacentral:rRNA from 1 species